UAUAAGAUCCCUCAAAGAUGAUGAGGUUAAUAGGUUCGAGGUGGAAGCGUAGUGAUACGUGGAGCUGACGAAUACUAAUCGAUCGAAGACUUAAUCAAUUU
rnacentral:rRNA from 1 species